UCCUACGGGGGGCAGCAGUAGGGAAUUUUCGUCAAUGGGCGCAAGCCUGAACGAGCAAUGCCGCGUGAACGAGGAAGGUCUUCGGAUCGUAAAGUUCUGUUGAAGGGGAAAAAGAGCGGAGAGAGGAAAUGGUCUCCGAUUGAUAUUACCCUUCGAGGAAGUCACGGCUAACUACGUGCCAGCAGCCGCGGUAAUACGUAGGUGGCGAGCGUUAUCCGGAAUGAUUGGGCGUAAAGGGUGCGUAGGCGGCCUGCUAAGUCUGGAGGGAAAGGUACCGGCUCAACCGGUACAGGCUCUGGAAACUG
rnacentral:rRNA from 1 species